UAAAUAGCUUAUAUAGAGCAUGACACUGAAGAUGUUAA
rnacentral:tRNA from 1 species